rnacentral:misc_RNA from 1 species
AAGUCGUAACAAGGUUUCCGUACGUGAACCUGCGGAAGGAUCAUUAACACGUAUCCAACGUUAAACCCCCUGUGAACUUUCAUCGUGCUCUUGCAUCCUAGGAACAGCAAUCCUAGUUAUUGAUUCAGGACCUCUCGCCGUCGUAGGAGAAAAACGAACAACUGUUAACAAUGGAUAUCUUGGUUCUC